rnacentral:rRNA from 1 species
UACGUAGGGUGCGAGCGUUAAUCGGAAUUACUGGGCGUAAAGCGUGCGUAGGCGGUUCUCCAAGUCCGUUGUGAAAGCCCCGGGCUCAACCUGGGAAUGGCAGUGGAAACUAGGGGACUGGAAUCUGGCAGAGGGGGGUGGAAUGCCGCGGUGUAGCAGGUGAAAUGCGUAGAGAUGCGGCGGAACACCGAUGGCGAAGGCAGCCCCCCUGGGCUGAGAUUGACGCUCAGGCACGAAAGCGUGGGGAGCAAACAGG